ensembl:lncRNA
CAAAUGUUCCAGAAAAGGCUGAGCACUGGAGAACAGAGCAAAGGAAAAGCAGAAACAACUCUACUAACACUGAGGCUGGAGGAAAAUGGAGAGGGGAGGAGGAGAGCACUGAAUGCUAAGAGCAGAGGUGGCUUGACAGCCUAUGGAGCCUGUUUUGCCCACAGUGAGAAUGGAUACGGUUGCAAAAUGAAAAAUAUUGCUAGGAUUCUGUGAUGGACUGAUAGAAUCAGUGGACACAGAAAAGGCAACUAAGAGUAGAAAUUUGUUCCAAACACUCAAGAUCUGAUAACUGAUUCCCAUUUAGAUGUCAUUGAGACCUCUGGGAAGUACAGAAUAAUCAGAGCACAGCAGGCACCAGUCAUGAAUCCUCCAUUCUUCACAGCCAGCCUCUGACAUGCUCUGGUGGACAGGGAGAGGACACUGAGUGCAACGGCACAUCACCAAGUCAUCCCUUCUCUGAAAGGGGCCAUGCUUUCAGAGGCUGAAAAAUCAUCCCUGAUGCACCUUGUCUCUGGUAUCUAAAGGAUACAUAGACAUGUCCAGCACAAUCUAAGAACCACAUAUACUGAGUAGCAGAGGAUUCAAUAAAUCUUCCUAUUCUGUGUCCAGUUGCCUCUUAUUAAGAAUAGAGUUUCAGGAUUGCUAUUGGAGUCCUUCACUCUCAUCUAACCACAUACUUUAAGGCAUUCUGCUACUAGAGGUGUACAGAAAAAUGUAGCUCCAUAAAAUAAGGAAUAAUGCUCCAAUGGGCAUAUGUGCCGGGAAGCUCAUGAAUAAGCAAAGUCCUCCAAAAAUGGUUUUACCAUGUCUGAGCAGAAGAAAAGAAACGCCUCCUUGACCUGAUCUGACACCCCUGCCGAUGCAGCAAGCAGUUGUCUUCUCUGCUGCCAGGACACACUGCUGACUCUAAUCUACUAAGACUCCAGUGGAAAAACAGCUUCACAGGGUUUGACACCUGAAAAUAAGAAGGCUGAAUGCAACUUUACUUUGCAUCCUCACCCCUGGGCAAAGGGAGUCAGUGAGAACACAGCACUGCCCAGCAUCAGAUCUGUUGUGGUUUUUCUGGUCAGUAGCAGCAGCUUUGGAGACUGCAAUAUAGCGUUUGUGUCACACAUUAAUGAACACUCAAAGGAGUUGCAUGCCAGUGAUUAUAUUGCAGUACUAUGGAGAUUCACUGUUGACUCUCC